rnacentral:rRNA from 1 species
UACAGAGGUCUCAACCGUUGUUCGGAUUCAUUGGGCGUAAAGGGUGCGUAGGCGGUCGUGCAAGUCGGAUGUGAAAUCUCAGGGCUCAACCCUGAAACUGCAUUCGAUACUGCGUGGCUAGAGUGCUGGAGAGGAGACUGGAAUUUACGGUGUAGCAGUGAAAUGCGUAGAUAUCGGAAGGAACACCAGUGGCGAAAGCGGCUUCCUGGUCCAGCACCGACGUUCAGGCACGAAAGCGUGGGGAGCAAACAGG